rnacentral:rRNA from 1 species
UACAGAGGUCUCAAGCGUUGUUCGGAUUCAUUGGGCGUAAAGGGUGCGUAGGUGGCGGGGUAAGUCAGGUGUGAAAUCUCGAGGCUCAACCUCGAAACUGCACUUGAUACUGCCUUGCUCGAGUACUGGAGAGGAGAUUGGAAUUUACGGUGUAGCAGUGAAAUGCGUAGAUAUCGAGAGGAACACCUGCGGCGAAGGCGGGUUGCUGGGCUGACACUGACGCUGAACUGCGAAAGCUAGGGGAGCAAACAGG